GUCCCGUUCGUCUAGCGGUUAGGACUCUGGAUUUUCAUUCCAGCAACAGGGGUUCGAUUCCCCUACGGGAUG
rnacentral:tRNA from 3 species